ACCUCUUCGGAGGUUCGUGGUAGGAGAGCGUUCUAAGGGCGGUGAAGUCAGACCGGAAGGACUGGUGGAGCGCUUAGAAGUGAGAAUGCCGGUAUGAGUAGCGAAAGAAGGGUGAGAAUCCCUUCCACCGAAUAUCUAAGGUUUCCUGAGGAAGGCUCGUCCGCUCAGGGUUAGUCGGGACCUAAGCCGAGGCCGAUAGGCGUAGGCGAUGGACAACAGGUAGAGAUUCCUGUACCAGUGCUAAUUGUUUAACCGAUGGGGUGACACAGAAGGAUAGGGAAUCGCACGAAUGGAAAUGUGCGUCCAAGCAGUGAGUGUGA
rnacentral:rRNA from 1 species